CCUGCUCACAUGACGCCUUUCUGUGCGCUCCCUCUCCUCUCAGCACUCAAUCCCGGCGAGUGCAGGCAUCACUGAAGACCUGACACCGGCGGAAUCGGACGUCCACUGUCCUCGGCAGAAUUAAUCAGGUGUUAUCUUAUGCAAACUGUAUCGCCAUCAGAUGAAGCUGACCAUCCUGCCGAUGAGAAUGAGUUCGCUUCGCCGGAGGAACAGACUUUUUUCCGUCUCCGAACGACCGGAGAGGCGCAAGGGCGAGAAAAUAACGCCCAAAAGUUAUUGAAAUGAAUCGACCUGGCACGAGAAGAAGAAACAGAACAAGCGCUUGCAGCGUUAGCAGAGGGAAGGAAGGGAAGCAGAAGAGCAAACGAGAAAAAGACAAGAGCGAUGAAAGAGAGGUCCAGACAUGAAGGAGGCAUGCAUUUACACACACACGUGCAACGGCACCUAGAGUCUGUCUGCGGUCUACCACCACCACCGUGCCACACACACGCACACACAUGCCUUUUACGGGCAGCAGAUAAAGACGGAGACGCCAUUCCAGCUGUGAGGAGACAGAAGAAGUCAACAUACACACUCAUACAGACAUAUACACGCACACACACACACACACACAGCCGGAGGCGCGUGAGCAGGUGAGCAUUAAGUCAGGCAGCUAAACAGAUCACGUCGCGGUAUGAUAUCUGCAGACAGGCAGACAGAGGAGGCCGGUCUGUACCUGCAGGCAGAGAGCAACAACUCCCAGCACACUCGCUAGGAAUUUUCAGUGACAGACAUAAACUGGGGUUUCCACUGAAGCCAAAUAGUUAAAGCCUGAUUUGAAAGAGACACAUUUGCUUAUGAAAUAAUGAGAGGCCUGUAUUUCAGCCCAGAAUCUCAUGAAA